CAACAGCUCAAAUUUGAAAUCUGGCGCAAGCCCGAGUUGUAAUUUGUAGAGGAUGUUUCGGGUGAAGCCACGGUCCAAGUCCCUUGGAACAGGACGUCAUAGAGGGUGAGAACCCCGUACCUGGCCGUCGGUGCCCCCCGCUGUGAAACUCCUUCGACGAGUCGAGUUGUUUGGGAAUGCAGCUCUAAAUUGGUGGUAAAUUCCAUCUAAAGCUAAAUACCGGCCAGAGACCGAUAGCGCACAAGUAGAGUGAUCGAAAGAUGAAAAGCACUUUGAAAAGAGAGUUAAAAAGUACGUGAAAUUGUUGAAAGGGAAGCGCUUGCGGCCAGACUUGCCCGCGGUUGCUCAGCCCGCCUUUUGGCGGGUGCACUCUUCCGCGGUCAGGCCAGCAUCGGUUUGGGCGGCCGGAUAAAGGCGUGGGGAACGUGGCCUCCCUUCGGGGAGGUGUUAUAGCCCCGCGCGCAAUGCGACCAGCCCGGACCGAGGUUCGCGCUUUGCUAGGAUGCUGGCGUAAUGGCCGUAAGCGGCCCGUCUUGAAACACGGACCAAGGAGUCUAACAUCUAUGCGAGUGUUUGGGUGUCAAACCCGUGCGCGUAAUGAAAGUGAACGGAGGUGGGAACCGCAAGGUGCACCAUCGACCGAUCCUGAUGUCUUCGGAAGGAUUUGAGUAAGAGCAUAGCUGUUGGGACCCGAAAGAUGGUGAACUAUGCGUGAAUAGGGUGAAGCCAGAGGAAACUCUGGUGGAGGCUCGCAGCGGUUCUGACGUGCAAAUCGAUCGUCAA
rnacentral:rRNA from 1 species